rnacentral:rRNA from 1 species
AACUUAAGCAUAUCAAUAAGCGGAGGAAAAGAAACCAACAGGGAUUGCCCUAGUAACGGCGAGUGAAGCGGCAACAGCUCAAAUUUGAAAUCUGGCCUUAGGGUCCGAGUUGUAAUUUGUAGAGGAUGCUUUUGGUGCGGUACCUUCCGAGUUCCCUGGAACGGGACGCCAUAGAGGGUGAGAGCCCCGUACGGUUGGAUACCUAGCCUCUGUAAAGCUCCUUCGACGAGUCGAGUAGUUUGGGAAUGCUGCUCUAAAUGGGAGGUAAAUUUCUUCUAAAGCUAAAUACCGGCCAGAGACCGAUAGCGCACAAGUAGAGUGAUCGAAAGAUGAAAAGCACUUUGAAAAGAGGGUUAAAUAGCACGUGAAAUUGUUGAAAGGGAAGCGCUUAUGACCAGACUUUUGUCCGGCGGAUCAUCCGGUGUUCUCACCGGUGCACUUCGCCGGGCUGAGGCCAGCAUCGAUUUCUGUAGGGGGAUAAAGACUUCAGGAAAGUAGCUCCCUUCGGGGAGUGUUAUAGCCCGUUGUGUAAUACCCCUAUAGGGAUCGAGGUUCGCGCAUCUGCAAGGAUGCUGGCAUAAUGGUCAUCAGCGACCCGUCUUGAAACACGGACCAAGGAGUCGAACAUUUAUGCGAGUGUUGGGGGGUGGGAAA